rnacentral:rRNA from 1 species
GAUGAACGCUGGCUACAGGCUUAACACAUGCAAGUCGAGGGGAAACGACGGGGAAGCUUGCUUCCCCGGGCGUCGACCGGCGCACGGGUGAGUAACGCGUAUCCAACCUGCCUCUGACUGAGGGAUAACCCGUCGAAAGUCGGCCUAAUACCUCAUGGUAUCGUCUGCGGGCAUCCAACGACGAUUAAAGAUUUCAUCGGUCAGGGAUGGGGAUGCGUCUGAUUAGCUUGUUGGCGGGGUAACGGCCCACCAAGGCUACGAUCAGUAGGGGUUCUGAGAGGAAGGUCCCCCACAUUGGAACUGAGGCCCGGACCAAAAUCCGACGGGGGGCAGCGGUGAGGAAUAUUGGGCAAGGGAGGAGAGCCUGAACCAGCCAAGUAGCGUGCAGGAAGACGGCCCUAGGGGUUGUAAACUGCUUUUAUGCGGGGAUAAAGUGAGGGACGUGUCCCUCAUUGCAGGUACCGUAUGAAUAAGGACCGGCUAAUUCCGUG